AGAGUUUGAUCAUGGCUCAGGACGAACGCUGGCGGCGUGCUUAACACAUGCAAGUCGAACGGAAAGGCCCUUCGGGGUACUCGAGUGGCGAACGGGUGAGUAACACGUGGGUGAUCUGCCCUGCACUCUGGGAUAAGCCUGGGAAACUGGGUCUAAUACCGGAUAGGACCGCAUGCUUCAUGGUGUGUGGUGCAAAGCUUUUGCGGUGUGGGAUGAGCCCGCGGCCUAUCAGCUUGUUGGUGGGGUAAUGGCCUACCAAGGCGACGACGGGUAGCCGGCCUGAGAGGGUGACCGGCCACACUGGGACUGAGAUACGGCCCAGACUCCUACGGGAGGCAGCAGUGGGGAAUAUUGCACAAUGGGCGCAAGCCUGGUGCAGCGACGCCGCGUGAGGGAUGACGGCCUUCGGGUUGUAAACCUCUUUCAGUAGGGACGAAGCGAAAGUGACGGUACCUACAGAAGAAGGACCGGCCAACUACGUGCCAGCAGCCGCGGUAAUACGUAGGGUCCGAGCGUUGUCCGGAAUUACUGGGCGUAAAGAGCUCGUAGGUGGUUUGUCGCGUUGUUCGUGAAAACUCACAGCUUAACUGUGGGCGUGCGGGCGAUACGGGCAGACUAGAGUACUGCAGGGGAGACUGGAAUUCCUGGUGUAGCGGUGGAAUGCGCAGAUAUCAGGAGGAACACCGGUGGCGAAGGCGGGUCUCUGGGCAGUAACUGACGCUGAGGAGCGAAAGCGUGGGUAGCGAACAGGAUUAGAUACCCUGGUAGUCCAA
rnacentral:rRNA from 1 species